rnacentral:rRNA from 1 species
GAUGAACGCUGGCGGCGUGCCUAAUACAUGCAAGUCGAGCGAAUGGAUUAAGAGCUUGCUCUUAUGAAGUUAGCGGCGGACGGGUGAGUAACACGUGGGUAACCUGCCCAUAAGACUGGGAUAACUCCGGGAAACCGGGGCUAAUACCGGAUAACAUUUUGAACCGCAUGGUUCGAAAUUGAAAGGCGGCUUCGGCUGUCACUUAUGGAUGGACCCGCGUCGCAUUAGCUAGUUGGUGAGGUAACGGCUCACCAAGGCAACGAUGCGUAGCCGACCGGGGAGGGUGAUCGGCCAGAAUGGGACUGAGACACGGCCCAGACUCCUACGGGAGGCAGCAGUAGGGAAUCUUCCGCAAUGGACGAAAGUCUGACGGAGCAACGCCGCGUGAGUGAUGAAGGCUUUCGGGUCGUAAAACUCUGUUGUUAGGGAAGAGCAAGUGCUAGUUGAAUAAGCUGGCACCUUGACGGUACCUAACCAGAAAGCCACGGCUAACUACGUGCCAGCCGCCGCAGUAA